GGGUAGAAUGGCAUGUAUAGGGUUGUAUGAGUUUUUAAGCAAAUGUUAGGUUUUAUGUGAUUUUUGAACAAUGUGGCAUGUUUGAGUAUGCUUGAAGUGUUGUAGUUGGGGUAUUUGAUGUUUUGAGGCCCCUAGGAACUUGUAUGCAUGUUUUGGUUGAGAUAUAUGCAUGAUUUGAGAGUUGGGAGGCGAAAAUGCACAAAGGAGCCAAGUUUCUGCCCUUUGGCAGAAACCAGGUUCGGCAGCCGAAGGCACGUUCGGCCGCCGAACAUGGCUGGGGAGGCAGGCCUUUCGGCUGCCGAAGUUGCCCUCGAAAAGAGACUUUCGUCUCUGUCUGGCAC
rnacentral:lncRNA from 1 species